CUAGGAUAACCUAGGUAUCUUGUACUGAAUCCAUAGGUGCAAGAGGCGAACCAGGGGAACUGAAACAUCUAAGUACCCUGAGGAAAAGAAAUCAACCGAGAUUCCCUUAGUAGUGGCGAGCGAACGGGGAUUAGCCCUUAAGCUUCAUUGAUUUUAGCGGAACGCUCUGGAAAGUGCGGCCAUAGUGGGUGAUAGCCCCGUACGCGAAAGGAUCUUUGAAGUGAAAUCGAGUAGGACGGAGCACGAGAAACUUUGUCUGAACAUGGGGGGACCAUCCUCCAAGGCUAAAUACUACUGACUGACCGAUAGUGAACCAGUACCGUGAGGGAAAGGCGAAAAGAACCCCGGAGAGGGGAGUGAAAUAGAACCUGAAACCGUAUGCGUACAAGCAGUGGGAGCCUACUUGUUAGGUGACUGCGUACCUUUUGUAUAAUGGGUCAGCGACUUAUAUUCAGUGGCAAGCUUAACCGUAUAGGGUAGGCGUAGCGAAAGCGAGUCUUAAUAGGGCGUUUAGUCGCUGGGUAUAGACCCGAAACCGGGCGAUCUAUCCAUGAGCAGGUUGAAGGUUAGGUAACACUGACUGGAGGACCGAACCCACUCCCGUUGAAAAGGUAGGGGAUGACUUGUGGAUCGGAGUGAAAGGCUAAUCAAGCUCGGAGAUAGCUGGUUCUCCUCGAAAGCUAUUUAGGUAGCGCCUCAUGUAUCACUCUGGGGGGUAGAGCACUGUUUCGGCUAGGGGGUCAUCCCGACUUACCAAACCGAUGCAAACUCCGAAUACCCAGAAGUGCCGAGCAUGGGAGACACACGGCGGGUGCUAACGUCCGUCGUGAAAAGGGAAACAACCCAGACCGCCAGCUAAGGUCCCAAAGUUGUGGUUAAGUGGUAAACGAUGUGGGAAGGCUUAGACAGCUAGGAGGUUGGCUUAGAAGCAGCCACCCUUUAAAGAAAGCGUAAUAGCUCACUAGUCGAGUCGGCCUGCGCGGAAGAUGUAACGGGGCUCAAACCACACACCGAAGCUGCGGGUGUCACGUAAGUGACGCGGUAGAGGAGCGUUCUGUAAGCCUGUGAAGGUGAGUUGAGAAGCUUGCUGGAGGUAUCAGAAGUGCGAAUGCUGACAUGAGUAACGACAAUGGGUGUGAAAAACACCCACGCCGAAAGACCAAGGGUUCCUGCGCAACGUUAAUCGACGCAGGGUUAGUCGGUUCCUAAGGCGAGGCUGAAAAGCGUAGUCGAUGGGAAACAGGUUAAUAUUCCUGUACUUCUGGUUACUGCGAUGGAGGGACGGAGAAGGCUAGGCCAGCUUGGCGUUGGUUGUCCAAGUUUAAGGUGGUAGGCUGAAAUCUUAGGUAAAUCCGGGGUUUCAAGGCCGAGAGCUGAUGACGAGUCGUCUUUUAGAUGACGAAGUGGUUGAUGCCAUGCUUCCAAGAAAAGCUUCUAAGCUUCAGGUAACCAGGAACCGUACCCCAAACCGACACAGGUGGUCGGGUAGAGAAUACCAAGGCGCUUGAGAGAACUCGGGUGAAGGAACUAGGCAAAAUGGCACCGUAACUUCGGGAGAAGGUGCGCCGGCUAGGGUGAAGGAUUUACUCCGUAAGCUCUGGCUGGUCGAAGAUACCAGGCCGCUGCGACUGUUUAUUAAAAACACAGCACUCUGCAAACACGAAAGUGGACGUAUAGGGUGUGACGCCUGCCCGGUGCCGGAAGGUUAAUUGAUGGGGUUAGCGCAAGCGAAGCUCUUGAUCGAAGCCCCGGUAAACGGCGGCCGUAACUAUAACGGUCCUAAGGUAGCGAAAUUCCUUGUCGGGUAAGUUCCGACCUGCACGAAUGGCGUAACGAUGGCGGCGCUGUCUCCACCCGAGACUCAGUGAAAUUGAAAUCGCUGUGAAGAUGCAGUGUAUCCGCGGCUAGACGGAAAGACCCCGUGAACCUUUACUGUAGCUUUGCACUGGACUUUGAGCCUGCUUGUGUAGGAUAGGUGGGAGGCUUUGAAGCGUGGACGCCAGUUCGCGUGGAGCCAUCCUUGAAAUACCACCCUGGCAUGCUUGAGGUUCUAACUCUGGUCCGUAAUCCGGAUCGAGGACAGUGUAUGGUGGGCAGUUUGACUGGGGCGGUCUCCUCCUAAAGAGUAACGGAGGAGUACGAAGGUGCGCUCAGACCGGUCGGAAAUCGGUCGUAGAGUAUAAAGGCAAAAGCGCGCUUGACUGCGAGACAGACACGUCGAGCAGGUACGAAAGUAGGUCUUAGUGAUCCGGUGGUUCUGUAUGGAAGGGCCAUCGCUCAACGGAUAAAAGGUACUCCGGGGAUAACAGGCUGAUACCGCCCAAGAGUUCAUAUCGACGGCGGUGUUUGGCACCUCGAUGUCGGCUCAUCACAUCCUGGGGCUGAAGCCGGUCCCAAGGGUAUGGCUGUUCGCCAUUUAAAGUGGUACGCGAGCUGGGUUUAGAACGUCGUGAGACAGUUCGGUCCCUAUCUGCCGUGGACGUUUGAGAUUUGAGAGGGGCUGCUCCUAGUACGAGAGGACCGGAGUGGACGAACCUCUGGUGUUCCGGUUGUCACGCCAGUGGCAUUGCCGGGUAGCUAUGUUCGGAAAAGAUAACCGCUGAAAGCAUCUAAGCGGGAAACUUGCCUCAAGAUGAGAUCUCACUGGGAACUUGAUUCCCCUGAAGGGCCGUCGAAGACUACGACGUUGAUAGGCUGGGUGUGUAAGCGUUGUGAGGCGUUGAGCUAACCAGUACUAAUUGCCCGUGAGGCUUGACCAU
rnacentral:rRNA from 1 species